rnacentral:pre_miRNA from 1 species
AUACUACUCCCUCCGUCCAGAAAUACUUGUCCUAGAGAUGAAUAUAUAUAGACUUAUUUUAGUUAUAGAUGCAUCCAUUAUAUUCAUUUCUAGGAAAAGUAUUUCCGGACGGAGGGAGUACAUC